GGCAAGAUGGCCGAGCGGUUAAGGCGUGUGACUCAAGCUAAGCUUCCUACUUUGAGUAGGCAACAGCGCAUUCUCAUCACAGUAAUGUGGCGUGGGUUCAAGUCCCACUCUUGUCA
rfam:Hypholoma sublateritium FD-334 SS-4 unplaced genomic scaffold scaffold_21, whole genome shotgun sequence.